rnacentral:misc_RNA from 1 species
UGGAAGUAAAAGUCGUAACAAGGUUUCCGUAGGUGAACCUGCGGAAGGAUCAUUACCUAGAGUUUGUGGGCUUUGCCUGCUAUCUCUUACCCAUGUCUUUUGAGUACUUACGUUUCCUCGGUGGGUUCGCCCGCCGAUUGGACAAUUUAAACCCUUUGCAGUUGCAAUCAGCGUCUGAAAAACAUAAUAGUUACAACUUUCAACAACGGAUCUCUUGGUUCUGGCAUCGAUGAAGAACGCAGCGAAAUGCGAUAAGUAGUGUGAAUUGCAGAAUUCAGUGAAUCAUCGAAUCUUUGAACGCACAUUGCGCCCCUUGGUAUUCCAUGGGGCAUGCCUGUUCGAGCGUCAUUUGUACCUUCAAGCAUUGCUUGGUGUUGGGUGUUUGUCUCGCCUUUGCGUGUAGACUCGCCUUAAAACAAUUGGCAGCCGGCGUAUUGAUUUCGGAGCGCAGUACAUCUCGCGCUUUGCACUCAUAACGACGACGUCCAAAAGUACAUUUUAACACUCUUGACCUCGGAUCAGGUAGGGAUACCCGCUGAACCUAAGCAUAUCAAUA